rnacentral:rRNA from 1 species
UACGGAGGGGGCUAGCGUUGUUCGGAAUUACUGGGCGUAAAGGGCGCGUAGGCGGCCCGAUCAGUCAGAUGUGAAAGCCCCGGGCUCAACCUGGGAACUGCAUUUGAUACUGUCGGGCUUGAGUUCCGGAGAGGAUGGUGGAAUUCCCAGUGUAGAGGUGAAAUUCGUAGAUAUUGGGAAGAACACCGGUGGCGAAGGCGGCCAUCUGGACGGACACUGACGCUGAGGCGCGAAAGCGUGGGGAGCAAACAGG